rnacentral:misc_RNA from 1 species
AGUACUAAUGAGAGCACAGUUGCACAUCACAAUUAAAACUGACAAUACCACUGAAAAACUAUAGAUUGUGCACUGCUGCUUGAUAAAUUCCAGCUUAAUAAUUGCCACAAAAACUGUGGCACACAACCAUCGUUCCUUUACCCUCCACUUAAUUACUGCUCACAAAUUUUAUUCUUGCAGUCAUUUUUAAGUAACACCAAUUUUGUGUUUUAUGGUUUACAGCCUAAUAAUUAUAUACACAACAAGAACAGAGGCACAAAUAAGAAAAUCUUAGAUAGACAAAAUGAUGAAAAAAAAAAAAAGCAUUCAAUUUAGGGA